rnacentral:SRP_RNA from 1 species
UGCAGCCGGGGAACUAGCGGCUCCUUGUACCUGAAAUCCGCUAUAGCAGGGGUGAUGCACUGUUAAGGGUAUUUAUCAUAUACAGCUGCCCUUCGUAAGCGGCGUUGAUAUCCGGGUCUUGCGCGGCGGGAAUCCGCGAACCGUGUCAGGUCAGGAAUGGAGCAGCACUAAACGGAAUCUUCCGGGUGCCGCAAGGUAGCCUGGGUUGAGCAGGCUGCGAAGGUAACGUGUAUGUGGUGAUAUUCGAGGCAGUGCGCACG